rnacentral:rRNA from 1 species
UACGUAGGGUGCAAGCGUUGUCCGGAAUUAUUGGGCGUAAAGAGCUCGUAGGCGGUCUGUCGCGUCGGCUGUGAAAACUCGGGGCUCAACCCGAGCCUGCAGUCGAUACGGGCAGACUAGAGUGCUGUAGGGGAGACUGGAAUUCCUGGUGUAGCGGUGAAAUGCGCAGAUAUCAGGAGGAACACCGGUGGCGAAGGCGGGUCUCUGGGCAGUAACUGACGCUGAGGAGCGAAAGCGUGGGGAGCGAACAGG